UGUAUUUGGCAGCAGGGGGAAGGGAUAGCUCAGUGUUUUGAGCAUUGGGCUGCUAACCCCAGAGUUGUGAGCUGCUCAAUCCUUGAGCAGGCCAUUUAGGAAACUGGGCUUAAAAAAAAAGAAGUCUGGGGAUUUGCCCUGC